AAAAAGAUAAGCUAAUUAAGCUAUUGGGUUCAUACCCCAAAUAUAAAAGUUUUAAUCUUUUUCUUUUUA
rnacentral:tRNA from 1 species